rnacentral:lncRNA from 1 species
UGAGGGACUUCUUGCCGUCCCCGAGGCUGACCCACAAGAGAGCCUUCAGCGACGACGUCUCCCAGGUCAGCCCGGUCCUGGAGCCGAAAACCAUCCAAAACCUGAAGCCAAAGAGCGACCCGGUGUCCCGCUCCUCCCUCUGCAUCAACGGCAGCCACGUUUACGGCGACGAGCCCGCCCUGCACAGCCCCACGCCUGCCCCACGCAGCUCCGCGCCCCUGCCCUGUGCCCGGCGGCCCCAGGAGGUCAGAGGAAGGUUUUGGCUUCGUCCCCCUGCACCCAGAGCCCCCCGAGACGCCCUGGGGGGGCUUCGAGAGGACGCAGCCGAGAGAUGAGCCUAGAUUCAUCCCGUCUCCUCCCAGCUUAGUGCUUCAGGAAGAGCUGAAGGUGUCCACCAAAGCCGUGACCCUCAGCAACCACCUGGGCAGAGCCAGGAUGGAGGAGAGCGGCCGCUCGGAGAGCAAGCCCACCCAGGCUGCGGCCCCCAUGGUGUCGUCGGCGGAGACGAGGCAGGAGAAGCAGCUGGAAGAAUCGAGGAAGGACGAGAAAAAACCCAAAGGGGGCUUCUUCCACCAUGGGGGCACCAAGAGCGAUACGGGGGGCAGAGGCCAGGGAGAGAAAACGGGAGGCUCGCCCGCGGCAGGCGAUGAGAGGAGCAGGGCCGGCGGCUGGUUCGCAGUCCAAGGAGCCCAAAGAGAGCCCCCAGAAACCCAGCUCCCCGCCUGGGCCGCCUGCUUCAACAGAGGUCGCUGCUGGCAGCUUGGGUUCCUCUGCGGAUUGCAGCCCCCCUGCCUCCCUCCGCCUCCCGGACCCGCUGAGGGAUCCUCCAGCCCCAAACGUUGGCGUCCCCGUGCCCGAAACCGCUCCCCCACCGCAUGGAGACCUUCCUCCUCCGGCCGAGCAAGCCGCCACCGCUCCUCUUCCUCCUCCUCUUCCUCCUCUCUCCGAGUGGGACGCCACCUUCGAGGCUUUUGCCAGCAGCAGGCUCAACCCGGAGGCGAAGGAGGAAAACCUCUCGGCUCCAGCGUUGGCGGAGGGCAUCGCCUUCAUCGAUGAUCCCGAGGGGAUGAGCCCCGCGGGGGGAUCGGCCGAGAAGGGGGCGAAGGCGUUGGAGAAGCCGCAGGUCGGCGGCGAGGUGGCCCCGGCGCUGAUGCCUUGGACGAAUUUCUCCGGGUUGGACGUGGGGGCCAACCUGGUGAGCACGACGCAGGAGGCGACGGUGAUAGAGGACGUGCUGAGCCCCGUGUCCGCCGGCUCCGGGGGGAGGAGGAGGAAGAGCAGCACGCCGAUGGUUUGGGCACCCGCAGUUUUCCCCGGGAAAGGAGGCUUCGGCGGCACGAAGCGCUGA